rnacentral:rRNA from 1 species
GAAGAAGGCCUUCGGGUUGUAAAGUACUUUCAGCGGGGAGGAAGGGAGUAAAGUUAAUACCUUUGCUCAUUGACGUUACCCGCAGAAGAAGCACCGGCUAACUCCGUGCCAGCAGCCGCGGUAAUACGGAGGGUGCAAGCGUUAAUCGGAAUUACUGGGCGUAAAGCGCACGCAGGCGGUUUGUUAAGUCAGAUGUGAAAUCCCCGGGCUCAACCUGGGAACUGCAUCUGAUACUGGCAAGCUUGAGUCUCGUAGAGGGGGGUAGAAUUCCAGGUGUAGCGGUGAAAUGCGUAGAGAUCUGGAGGAAUACCGGUGGCGAAGGCGGCCCCCUGGACGAAGACUGACGCUCAGGUGCGAAAGCGUGGGGAGCAAACAGGAUUAGAU